rnacentral:tRNA from 1 species
ACCUGGGUAGCUCAGCGGUUGAGCAUCUGCCUUCAGUGCAGGGCGUGAUCCCAGGUC